GCUUUGAUCACGUCUAGGACCUCUCAGUCCUUUAUUCUCUUGGAAUAAUUCACCAAGCCAUGAGAUGGAGGAUAUCCACAUCUGGGUGGAGCACCUUUCUCUGCUCUCUGGCGUCAAUCAUCUAAUUAUAGAAAGAGACAGGUGGACUUCUCUCUCAGAUGAGCAACUACCAUGGCCAUACAUUUGGUGAAGAUGCACACAGCCGUGGAGAGGCUGAAUGGACCUCAUGGAUGGAAUACUCACGCACCGUCCCUCGUGCUGGCAUGACCUUUUAUUUUGGCGGUUGGAGCGCCCGUCCUUUGGUUCCUGGAUGACCGCCUCCAUAUGAAGAUCAUCCCAUAAAGUUUUUCAGAGAGCACAGAUAAGUCUUUAUCU